UGGGGAAUAUUGGACAAUGGGCGCAAGCCUGAUCCAGCAACGCCGCGUGGAGGACGAAGGUCUUCGGAUCGUAAACUCCUGUCAGACGGGACGAAGGUAAGUGGGUGAACAAUCCGCUUGCUUGACGGUACUGUCAGAGGAAGCCCCGGCUAACUCCGUGCCAGCAGCCGCGGUAAUACGGAGGGGGCGAGCGUUAUUCGGAAUUAUUGGGCGUAAAGGGCGCGUAGGCGGCUUGAUAAGUCAAAGGUGAAAUCCCUCGGCUCAACUGAGGAACUGCCUUUGAAACUGUCUGGCUUGAGGCCGGGAGGGGGUAGCGGAAUUCCCAGUGUAGCGGUGAAAUGCGUAGAUAUUGGGAGGAACACCGGUGGCGAAGGCGGCUACCUGGACCGGUUCUGACGCUGAUGCGCGAAAGCGUGGGUAGCAAACAGGAUUAGAUACCCUGGUAGUCCACGCUGUAAACGAUGGGUGCUCGGUGUCGCGGGUAUCGACCCCUGCGGUGCCUUAGCUAACGCGUUAAGCACCCCGCCUGGGGAGUACGGUCGCAAGGCUGA
rnacentral:rRNA from 1 species